UACAGAGGUCUCAAGCGUUGUUCGGAAUCACUGGGCGUAAAGGGUGCGUAGGCCGCACGGUAAGUCAGGUGUGAAAGCCCGGAGCUCAACUUCGGAAUUGCACCCGAUACUGCGGGUCUUGAGUCCGAUAGAGGUGGGUGGAAUUCCUAGUGUAGAGGUGAAAUUCGUAGAUAUUAGGAAGAACACCGGUGGCGAAGGCGGCCCACUGGAUCGGUACUGACGCUGAGGUGCGAAAGCGUGGGGAGCAAACAGG
rnacentral:rRNA from 1 species